CCAACGGCCCUCUUUAGGGCCACAAAUCAUUGUGUCACGCUCUUCA
rfam:Gongylonema pulchrum genome assembly, scaffold: GPTH_scaffold0000269